rnacentral:lncRNA from 1 species
CAUCUGUACUCACCUUUCAACAGGGAAAGAAAUUUUAUAUACAGAAACUGUUCUUGAGGAAAAGGGACACCCUCGAGGUAAUGAGUAGUUGGGUAUUGACAGCUAGGACAACAUCUUAAAAUCUCCAUGAUUAAAUACUUCUACAGUCAUCUCCCUAAAACAUACUUUUAAAUAUAAUUCAAUGUUAAUGGCAUUUGUAUUAAACUGUCAGAGCAGCAGGCUGUUGGCAUUUCUUUGCUUAGGGUUUUGCUUUUCAUUUUAAUUGGUUUUCUGAUGAUUGGGGCAUAAUUUUGCUUUGCUAUACUGGUGCUCAGUGCUGCUAAGUACCAGGCUACCAGUCUGCCAACCACCUGCAUUAAAAAGAGAACUGCCUUCAGGUUGCUCUGAAGGGAACUGAUGGUGUGGAGUGACCUGCUUUUGGGCUCAGGGCUGCAGUGCUUGAACACGGUUGCCCAUUUUUGUUCUUGUGCUUGAGUUUAUUCUCCUUAACCUAACAUCACGGUGAAUUUGUGUUAAGCUUUGCUCUGGUCCUACCAUUGGGCGUGUGGGACAUGUGUGUUGGGUGCCCACCAAUUCCCAGAGCGCUUGUGGAGGCAGUGCAUGCCCUUCAGGCAACCCAAUGUACUGUGUCCAUGUGGAGUGGUCCUCUGCAACAUGGCAGGUGCUGCUAAAUCCUUAAGCAAAAUGAGCAACAUUCUGUCCCUCUUAAGUCAAGACUGCAUCGCUUCUGCACAGCAUCUGUUUCCACUAAUUUCUAUGCAAAUUAAAAUGCUAAAUUGCAUUGUUUAUCAGUAGUAACUGAGGGUGCAUAAUUAUAACGCAAGAGUAGAAGGAAAAUGAGGAAACUCUGUGUAUCCCCUGUGCGUAUGUGAGCUUGAAACGAACAUGGAAUUUUGGAUAAUGUUGUCCUAGGACAAAGGGUGUGUCGCUUCUGUGUUGCAUAAUUCCUACUGACCGCCCACUUAUUCCAAGGUUCCUCUUAACGUUUUCUCCCAGUCUGCCUCCUUCCCUGCCCUUCUAACGCCAGUGUUCUUGCAAAAAUACAGUAUUGCAAAUGCUACAGAAGCCCAUUCGUGGGGCUGGAAGUAUUUAUGCUAAAUUACAUGAAUCAUACCCAUUUGUUAUUAUGUGAGGAACCGCUAGCACAAUUCACAAUUGGGAUGUGGGUGUUCUUUAAGCAACAGCUAGGACACUUCUUACAGAACCUGUCCAGAUAAUUGCUGAGAAUCUUGCUGCAUAAAGAGGUUGCAGAUAUGUGCAGUUUUUAAUCUGUCGGUCAGUUUGAAAACAGCUGCAAGCCUGUUUUCUCCAGCAGACUUGAAGGGAUGGCAGUGGUGAUGUCAGGACCUAUCACUGUUGUGUCUGUGUCAUAACUGAAGCAAAGUUCCUUUCCAUUUAAAACAGUCCAACAUUUCUUGAUGGUUAUUGAAUUGCUGCUGACACAACUGUUGCAAGUUGAUGUAACGUUUCCUGUGCUAUGCUUGGAGCAGCUGACUUUCUGUACAAAGGCUCUUUUUUGUUUUCUUGUGAAACUUUACAGGAGCAAGCUGGGCUGAAGCAAGCCAGUCUGCUAUCUGCAUAUCCGACUGCAAGGAAAUGCAAGGUUGGAGCUGUAGCAAGCACUUGAGAAAGAGAUAAGCUCGCUAUUUAUUGUAUUGUUCCUUUCAACCACUGUCCUUUCGCUAGUUUUAUGCAAAUUAAAACGCUAAAUUGCAUUACAGUCUGCCCUCUUCCCUUGUUGUCCAGAGUGCGGUCAGUUUUGAUAGAUAAAAAUAUGUAAUUGCAGCUCUUAAAUUCCUGUAUUUAUUUAUUUUUAAGAUAGCAUUGCGUGGCACUUCUUGGUAUAGUUCCUUGGUACCGUAAAUGUUUAUCGGGGAGGAGUGCAUCAGUAGGAAUUGUUUUAUGAUUGGCUUUGUGUAAUUGUGGACACAAAUAACCUUGUUAGUUUAUCUCUGUGGAAUGAAAUAGGAUGAGUAGCUGAGGGAUGGGGCACUCUAGCUUCUUUCUGCCUUUGCUCUCUCUGUAGCACACUGGAGUAUGCAUUGUUGUUUGCGGGGGGUUGUCUCGGAAAUAUAUCCCAAGCCACAGCUGGACACUCUUAUCCAGGCAACCUAAGGCCCAGGGGCCGGAUACGGCCCAGUCGCCUUCUAAAUCCAGCCCACUGACAGUCCGGGAAUCAGCGUGUUUGUACAUGAGUAGAAUGUGUCCUUUUAUUUAAAAUGCAUCUCUGGGUUAUUUGUGGGGCAUAGGAAUUUGUUCAUUAUUUUUUUUCAAAAUAUAGUCCAGCCCACCACACGGUCUGAGGGACGGUAGACUGGCCCGCUGCUGAAAAAGGUUGCUGCCCCCUGCUCUUAUCUUUAGGCAUUUAACCUGCAUUGUCUUGCGCUGAUCAAAUGGACACUGACAAACUGGAACGUGUCCAGAGGAGGGCAACCAAAAUGGGCAAAGGCCUGGAAAUGAUGCCUUAUGAGGAACGGCUAAGGGAGCUGGGCAUGUUUAGCCUGGAGAAGAGGAGGUUAAGGGGUGAUAUGAUAGCCAUGUUCAAAUAUAUAAAAGGAUGUCACAUAGAGGAGGGAGAAAGGUUGUUUUCUGCUGCUCCAGAGAAGCGGACACGGAGCAAUGGAUCCAAACUACAAGAAAGAAGAUUCCCCCUAAACAUUAGGAAGAACUUCCUGACAGUAAGAGCUGUUCGACAGUGGAAUUUGCUGCCAAGGAGUGUGGUGGAGUCUCCUUCUUUGGAGGUCUUUAAGCAGAGGCUUGACAACCAUAUGUCAGGAGUGCUCUGAUGGUGUUUCCUGCUUGGCAGGGGGUUGGACUCGAUGGCCCUUGUGGUCUCUUCCAACUCUAUGAUUCUAUGAAAUGCAGCUUGCAGGGCAGCUUGAGAAAAGGGAUAAAUCAAUUGUGUCUGAAACUUCAGUGUAUAGUAUUCACCAGAGUGACUGGUGAGGGAAGCUGCACUUAUCAAUGCACCCAUACCGUCAUGAAUGGAUACAAACCCAUCACUGUACAUAAGCCCUCAAAAAGUUAUGAAGUGUUAUAAGUGGCUAACACUAUGCCUUUCUGUGCUACCUGCAGAAGAAGCUAAGGCCCACCCCCUACUUACUGAGCAAGACUGAAAUGCUGGUUGCUAGAUGAUGGACAGACUAGUAAAAAAUAGGGAGCGAAAUUCUGGCAGAGAAGGGACAGAGUGUCCCGUCUCUCCCCCAGAGCUUGGCUUUCGUGCUGGUUGCAGAAGGAGGGACAGAGGACCAAUCCCUCUCACACCAGCCUGCUUGCCUGAAUGGAAUGCUUGGUCCCAAGUUGUGAAACAAAAAUUUAUGUUUUAAUAAUGAUGAUGAUGAUAUAUUAUAAUCCACCUUGUGAGGAAAUCCUUCACAAAGCGCUUACAGUAUUUUAAAUUACAGGUUCAUUUAAUAAAACCUUUUUAAAGCACAUAGUGGGCAAUAAUAACACUAAAACUACCAACAUAAAACAGUAACCUAGCCCACACACCAGUUAACUGCCUUCAUCCAUGCACCCCAUCAAAAACUUACGGAAGCAUUUUAAAGCCACCUUUAAAUGCAGGAGGUGGGACCUGCUUAAUGUCUAACUUUUAAUAUGGAGUUGUGGAGCCACAACCAAGAAGGCCCAGUUAUGCAUUCUCAUCUGUGUCUCCAAAAAUUUUUACACAUCUUUUACACAAUUUUUACACAUUUACUUGGGAAGACAGGUGAACUAAUUCCCCCACUGGAAAGACGUGUGGAUCCAGAAUUGGCCUCCACAGUCACUUACGGACUCAACUGUUAAGACUGUGUUUAUGGAAGACAAUCUUACUCGGCUACAAGUGAUCGCCAAAGAAGAAGAAUUAUAUCUGUAAACACUUGUGUGUUUCGCACUGGCCCCUUAAUUUUGUGUUGCUUUUGUGACUCCCUUGGUCAAGGCAAUUGCAGUUAACAGUUUGCAAACAUGGCCAAAAGGUGUUGUUUCCUAUUUUCCCAUCCCCCCAAAAAAUCACCCUAGGUAAUUCAAGUGAAAAAGAAAAACAAUUAAACAGAACUUGUGAGAACACGGGGAUGAAAACUCAUUGAGUUUGAAAAAUGGUAGGGGGUCAGGCAGAUUUGUCACAGUUGCAUGAAUGAUCAGUUUAAUAGUGAGUUGCAUUUCCUACUGGCCUGCCCUGGUAUGGGUAAUUGGUGCCAUUAUGCCAGUGUGGAGACUUCUUAAAUAUAGGGAGACCUCAGGCAUUCUUUGGUAGUUGGUAGAGCCAACAUCUGCAGCUUUCUGGUAGGCUAAAAUAGUCCUUGCAAGGACCGCACCCUGUGCUUUAAUGACUCGUUUCCCUUAUCUCUCUCAAACAUGUGGUAUUGAAUUAGAAGGUUCUGCAAAACCAAAGAUGCUUUAGGGGAGCUGUCCACAGUAUUUUAGGGUGGUGGUAGGGUUGUUUAACAUGCCACCCAUUGCUUAGAACCCUGUAAUCUAAUGUUCUCUGUGGCACAGUUCGAAAUCUAUAGUUAGCCAGGAGCAGGGUGAGGUUUUCCAGCCGUGGCAACUUUAUUUUUAAACAUGUCUAUUUUUGUUUCUUUCAUUUCCAAGUCUUUUGCUGAGUAGUGAACCAGGAGCUGGCAAUAUGGUACCGGUGCUGAAUCUGGCUUUUUAAAAUCACAUUUGUUUGAAGGGGGUGUGUGAGGACAUUGGGGAACUCUCUAGUUCCUCUUUUGCCAGCCUCUUAAUGGGAAAUUGAAUAAUAGGGCACAUAUGUUAUGAACUAAACUCUUCCAGAGUGAAAGGGUGAAAAACCUUAACACUUGUUGGUGAUACACGUGCCCUUGGCUGCUUGGUUAAUAAUGAUUUUAUUUUUUAUAAUUUCAAUAAUUUUAGUUUUAAUGUUUAAACAUUCAUAAGGGUAGGAGUUACUAGGGUCAUGGAAUAUAGUUGUCUUCUCUUUAACAUAAGGGAAAUCAUAGCCCCCCCCCCCAUCUAGAGUGGUAGAAGUGGGCAGAGAUAUGUUGGAAAAAUCAAAGAACUUGCUUAGAAAAGGGUGACUUUUAAACAUGACCCAGUUAAUUAAUGCUCGUAAUGAUAAGUCCCCAUCAGAUCCCUUGUCAAUUUAAGUGGUGUGUUUCAUUUGCUUGACCAAAUCGUUUUUCAUAAACUGAAAUCUGCAGGCUGGCCUGACUUCUGCCAAAACACUGAUCUGCAUCCAACUUCUGAUCUGACUCAGAUCAGGCCCAUUGAGGUUGAUGUAGUGAAGUCAGCUGUGCCCAUUCAUUUCAGUGGGUCUUCUCUUGAGUAUGACGAGCAUCGGACACAACCCUCUGUCUCUAGCAAACGCUGCCUUUGCCACUUUUGCAGGUCGCCUCUGGCUUUUAUGAAACAGGUGACGCUGCAAAUUUUAUGGACUGAGAACGGGGGCGGGGAUGAUUUGGGGAGGGGAAGGAUGCCAACUCAGGAGUGAACUUAGGAAUGCAGUUCUCAGGGUUCUCUGGAAGGAGAAGGUGGUUUCUUAAACCAAUGUCUGUCUUGUAGUUUUGAUAUGCCCUCUGAUCACAAAAGGAGCACAGCAAAUCCAUACCGGAUUUAGGCCAGUGACCUGAAGAAACCUAGGGAAGUUUUUUACCGUGUGGUUUUUGUACUGUGGUCUGAAUAGCAGAAGUUGGGCUGUGGUGGGUGAGUUGGUCACAUUGCAGCAUAAGGCUUGACUUGAUGUUCUUUCUCUGCCUUUUCAGCGUCAUCUAGGGGUGCACAAUUACGUAAUUCUACUGCAUGUACCACAGUGGUAGAGAGUUUUCAUUUUUGAAUACUUUCUAGCUUUGCCUACUGGGACAUUUUUUUCAUAUUUGAAUACUUUCUAGCUUUGUUUAAUGGGACAGGGGCUGUGCAUGACACCAGAACCAGUGUGGCGCUUCAGUUUCCGAUUCCGCAGGGCUUAUGUCUUCACACGCUUUCAAGUGUGCUGUUGUAAGCAUGAGUUCUAGAAACUUGUUUGGAAAGCCGGAUGCUGUGGCCUUUUCCUUGUUCCGAGGCAGAAUCCCAGCAGUUGUUCUGCGGGGAAGGGUUGUUUUGCAUUUCACCUGACCAGAUAGCGAGGCGGCGGCGCCCUAAUAAUGCGGAAGGAGAUAAUGAUCAGAAACAUCUUCCUUCGCCCUCGGGGUGAUUUCUGCUGGGAAUGCAUGGCGUCGCCUUGUGCAGGCAUUGCUGAGAAUACAGGGCUGGCUCAGGGCAGGUGAGGAUGACUCAAUUAGAGCACUUUUUGCACUCUGGUCCUACCCAUUGCAUGUGGCUUUCACCCUCAGGAUGGCACAGGUACAGGUAGGUCUUCUUCUACUUCCCUCUUCCCCCUUUAAAACAUGUUUGCCGGCAUUUUCCUUUGACAGGGGUUAGGCUCCAAGCGCCAUCUCGGCCUCUUGAACCGGUUGUGGCGCUUAAGUUAAAAAGCGUGAUUGC